UGGGUUGUAACUCAGUGGUAGAGUGCUUGCCUAGCAUGUAUGAAGCCCUGGGUUUGAUUCUCAGUACCACAU
rnacentral:tRNA from 1 species